rnacentral:tRNA from 1 species
CAGAGAAUAGUUUAUAUAAAAUAUUAAUUUUGGAGAUUAAAGAAAUUAGGUUUUCUCUGA